rnacentral:rRNA from 1 species
UACGAAGGGGGCUAGCGUUGCUCGGAAUUACUGGGCGUAAAGGGCGCGUAGGCGGAUACUUAAGUCGGGGGUGAAAGCCCGGGGCUCAACUGGGGAGGGUCGUGCGAUACGGUCGGACUUGAGGCCAGUAGGGGGAUGCGGAAUUCCGGGUGUAGUGGUGGAAUGCGUAGAGAUCCGGAGGAACACCAGCGGCGAAGGCGGCAUCCUGGACUGGUCCUGACGCUCAGGAGCGAAAGCGUGGGGAGCGAUCCGG